AGCUCCAAUAGCGUAUAUUAAAGUUGUUGCGGUUAAAAAGCUCGUAGUUGCAUUUCCGAGGCAAGGGAUUAGUCCGACCUUUGGUGGGUAUUUAAUCCUCUUGCCUCGUCCUUGAGUGGUGCUUCUUGGUAUUAAGUUAUCGAGGAGAUAGCCGCUCAUCGUUUACUGUGAGAAAAUUAGAGUGUUCAAAGCAGGCUUAUGCCGUUGAAUAUAUUAGCAUGGAAUAAUAAGAUAGGACCUCGGUACUAUUUUGUUGGUUUGAGAACCAAGGUAAUGAUGAAUAGGGACAGUUGGGGGUAUUCGUAUUCAGUUGUCAGAGGUGAAAUUCUUAGAUUUACGGAAGACGAACUACUGCGAAAGCAUUUACCAAGGAUGUUUUCA
rnacentral:rRNA from 1 species